AAAAAUCUAAGUGUUGAGUUUGCGCUUCACAAGACUAGAUUUCAUCCGUCAAGGAUUUUUCCAAGUUCCACCUCUUGGAAAAAUAUAUUCAUUUU
rnacentral:sRNA from 1 species